rnacentral:rRNA from 1 species
CAACUGCAAGUGGUGGAUCACUCGGCUCGAGUAUCGAUGA